AGAGUUUGAUCCUGGCUCAGGAUAAACGCUGGCGGCGUGCCUAACACAUGCAAGUCGUACGCCCUUAGCAAUAAGGGAGUGGCGGACGGGUGAGUAACACGUGGGUGCACCUACCUCAAAGUGAGGGAUACCGGCGAGAAAUCGCCGACAAGACCGCAUACGUUCCUUCACGGGAGCAAAGCCCGCAAGGGCGCUUUGAG
rnacentral:rRNA from 1 species